GAUGAACGCUAGCUACAGGCUUAACACAUGCAAGUCGAGGGGCAUCAGGAAGAAAGCUUGCUUUCUUUGCUGGCGACCGGCGCACGGGUGAGUAACACGUAUCCAACCUGCCCUUUACUCGGGGAUAGCCUUUCGAAAGAAAGAUUAAUACCCGAUGGCAUAAUGAUUCCGCAUGGUUUCAUUAUUAAAGGAUUCCGGUAAAGGAUGGGGAUGCGUUCCAUUAGGUUGUUGGUGAGGUAACGGCUCACCAAGCCUUCGAUGGAUAGGGGUUCUGAGAGGAAGGUCCCCCACAUUGGAACUGAGACACGGUCCAAACUCCUACGGGAGGCAGCAGUGAGGAAUAUUGGUCAAUGGACGAGAGUCUGAACCAGCCAAGUAGCGUGAAGGAUGACUGCCCUAUGGGUUGUAAACUUCUUUUAUACGGGAAUAAAGUGAGGCACGUGUGCCUUUUUGUAUGUACCGUAUGAAUAAGGAUCGGCUAACUCCGUGCCAGCAGCCGCGGUAAUACGGAGGAUCCGAGCGUUAUCCGGAUUUAUUGGGUUUAAAGGGAGCGUAGGCGGACGCUUAAGUCAGUUGUGAAAGUUUGCGGCUCAACCGUAAAAUUGCAGUUGAUACUGGGUGUCUUGAGUACAGUAGAGGCAGGCGGAAUUCGUGGUGUAGCGGUGAAAUGCUUAGAUAUCACGAAGAACUCCGAUUGCGAAGGCAGCCUGCUGGACUGUAACUGACGCUGAUGCU
rnacentral:rRNA from 1 species